rnacentral:rRNA from 1 species
CCCUUAGAUGUUCUGGGCCGCACGCGCGCUACAAUGGUCUUCGCAAACGGAUGCAUUCUCGAAGGAGAAUGCCAAUCUUGGAAUCUAUGCCUUGGUCGGGACAGUUGCUUGCAAUUUUUCGACUCGAACCAGGAAUUCCUUGUAAUCGUGAUUCAUCACAUCACGAUGAAUACGUCCCUGCCCUUUGUGCACACCGCCCGUCGCUCCUACCGAUCGAAGAGUUAGGUGAAUUGUUUUGAUCGAUAAGAUUUGACUAUGGUCAACUCUCGUUGUGAAAUUCUGUGAAUCUGACUGUUUAGAGGAAGGAAAAGUCGUAACA